GUGAGGCCUUGUUUCUACCUUACAAGCCAACAAAACUCUUUGCCUCCAGCCUCUGGCACACAACCCACAUGGGAGAAGAGAGACUUUGCCAAGAACCAGCAUUCCAGUAAAGUACUGUUCUGGCCAAAACAGGUAGAUAAGGAGCUUUGUAUCCCCUCAAAGACCUGAAAGAACAAUAGAGGGAUGGAGAUGGAUGCUGUAACCCUCUAGAAUUAGAGGAGCACAGACGAGUACAUUUUGAGAGAAGACUUUUGGUGAUCUUGUCGAUGACACUGUGCAGUGUAGAUGGGUGUCAGUAGUCAAAUAAGUUUGGAAUAUUUAUGACCAAACCUUACAAAAGUGCCUGGAGAGCACACUGGUUAACAACAUAGGCUCCAGCUCAGACAGACCUGAGUAUGAAUCCAGUUCAUUGCCUCCAGCUUGUAAACUUGGGCAAAUUACUUGAUAUCUCUGAGCCUCAGUUUUCCCAUCUGUAAAAAGGGAAAGAUAACAGUAUCUACCACAGGGUGGUGUUGUAUGAAAUAAUGUACAAAAAGCAUUUAGGGCCAAAAAGCAUUUAGGGCUGGGCGCGGUAGCUCAAGCCUAUAAUCCCAGCACUUUGGGAGGCUGAGGCAGGUGGGUCACUUGAGGCCAGGAGUUCGAGACCAGCCUAGCCAAUAUGGUGAAACUCUGUCUCUACUGAAAACCCUGUCUCUACUGAAAAAAAGUAGCUGGGUCUGGUGGCACACACCUAUAAUCCCAGCUACUCAGGAGGCUAAGGCAGGAGAAUUGCUUGAACCCGGAGGCGGAGGUUACAGUGAGCUGAGAUGUACUGCACUCCAGCCUGGGCAUCAGAGCAAGACCUUGUCAAAAAAAAAAAAAAAAAAAAAAAAAAAAGAAAAGAAACAAACAAACAGUGUGGUGCCCAGGAUAAGAAACUGUGGUUUCUACUAUUUGCAAAAUAAAGGCUCCCAAAGGUCUUAUGGUAAAAAUACUUGCUGAUUUUGAAUAGUUUUCCUUUUGAGGGGAAGAGGACCUGGAAGCAUACACAUCUAAAGAUAUAAAGCACUGGUUUUGUGUGCAGUACGGGUGAACUCCUAGCACUCUUCUUGAUCACCACGGAUGCUCUCACUUUAAGCACAGAAGCAUUUGCAAGCACAGAGCAAGUUCUGCAAGACCUCAUUGAAAGAGGCAGUGAUGAUGACUGAAUAUUAGAAUUUCUGUCUCUUACUAGAUUUAAGUACCUUACACUUUAUUGCCUCUUUCACAGCAAAAGGAAAAACAAAUACAUGGCACCCCCUGAAGGCCCCUAAACUGAACCCACAUGCACAGGAAGGAAAGCGCUGGGGGAUGUUGUCAGACAAAUUUGGGCAACAGUGGAAUAAAUGAUAUGGGGGAAGAUGCAUUUGAAAAUAUUGAUAUUGCUUUGGUAUGCAUGGUAGGUGUUACUAUACUUUCAUAAUUAAAACACACAAAAUGAAGCUUCAAAUAAGCAAAAGAAAA
rnacentral:lncRNA from 1 species